GAGAAUUCAGCAAGACGCUUCUGAAUGGUGCACAUGUGGAAAUUGUGCAACAAUGCCGUCAGAGCCUGAGAACUUAUGCUGCCAGGAGGUACCACAGGUUACAAGACGGCUGCAGCAGCUGGAUGAAAGGCCUCCAUGUAUGAUAGGCAAACAGGUUCUAAACCUGGACGGUCUAAAUGUGUUCUCACUGCAGAAUGCAUGCAACAUUUACAGGGCUGACUAUGGUCCUUUAAAGUUAUGGGGAAUAGAGCAGUGAGUUAUCUGUAAUAACCUACUUACAUUCACUGUUCAUACAACAUAAUAAAGCAAAUAUAGUCUGCCAAAGCCUCUUUCAGAUUUUUUUCUUGAACUUAUAGCCAAGUAUUUCCUUAGCAAACUGUAUAUUACACAAAUUCACAUGAAGCAUUUUACACAUGCAAUAAACAUUUAUUUACCACUGUCAUUGUACAUAAAAAUACAGUAUUGAAUGAUUCACUGAUUCCAAAUUAGACAUAUAUUAUAAAACCUGUUGACUAGCAAUGUUCAUUUUUCUCAGUUGUUACAGGUAUUAAGCCUACAGAAGUUUUGUGAGCUGGUGCUGGGGCUUCCUUGGUAGAAAGAUACGGGUAGUGAUCCCCUCAUGUGUCGUGACGGGAGUUUCCUGACACCCAUGGAAGAUAUGUAGGCUUCAAACUCCCGCCCCUUGAUUGAAUCUUGAGACAUACAGUGGGUCCCCGUUAAGUUUGGACGGGUUCCUUCAGGAAUCACGCACCCCAUUUUCUCAGCAGAAA